rnacentral:rRNA from 1 species
UACAGAGGUCUCAAGCGUUGUUCGGAUUUACUGGGCGUAAAGGGCGCGUAGGCGGCGCGGUAAGUCACUUGUGAAAUCUCUGAGCUUAACUCAGAACGGCCAAGUGAUACUGCAGUGCUAGAGUGUGGAAGGGGCAAUCGGAAUUCUUGGUGUAGCGGUGAAAUGCGUAGAUAUCAAGAGGAACACCUGCGGCGAAGGCGGGUUGCUGGGCUGACACUGACGCUGAUGCGCGAAAGCUAGGGGAGCGAACGGG